ACAAAAACAUGUCUUUUAGGAAAAAUUAGAAGUCUAACCUGCUCAAUGAUUUUUUAAAUAGCCGCAGUAAAUUAACUGUGCAAAGGUAGCAUAAUAAUUAGUCUUUUAAUUGAGGUCUGGAAUGAAUGGUUGAACGAGAAAUAUACUUUAUUUAAUUAAUUUUUUUGAAUUUGGUUUUUUAGUUAAAAAUCUAAAAUAUAUAAGAGUGACGAUAAGACCCUAUAGAUCUUUAUAAUUUUUAAUUUAUUUAUUUUUUUUGUUGUAUUAUUUAUUUAAAUAAAAAUUUAUUUUGUUGGGGUGAUAAUUAAAAUUUUAAACUUUAAUAUUUUUAAACAAAUAUAUUUGGUUAAGUGAUCCUUUUUUUUUGAUUAUUAGAUAAAGAUACCUUAGGGAUAACAGCGUUAUAUAUUUGGAGAGUUCACAUUUAUAAAUAUGUUUGCGACCUCGAUGUUGGAUUAAAAUUUAGUUGUGGGGUAGGUUUUACAAUUUAGGUCGU
rnacentral:rRNA from 1 species